UACGUAGGGGGCUAGCGUUGUCCGGAAUCAUUGGGCGUAAAGCGCGCGUAGGCGGCCCGGUAAGUCCGCUGUGAAAGUCCAGGGCUCAACCCUGGAAAGCCGGUGGAUACUGCCGGGCUAGAGUCCGGGAGAGGCGAGUGGAAUUCCUGGUGUAGCGGUGGAAUGCGCAGAUAUCAGGAGGAACACCUAAGGCGAAGGCAGCUCGCUGGAACGGUACUGACGCUGAGGCGACGAAAGCGUGGGGAGCAAACAGG
rnacentral:rRNA from 1 species